UGAUAUUGGCCGCGUGGCGUUGGAGAUCAAAGAGAUGGAAGAAGAGGGGACGAAAGAGGAGAUGCGAGAUGAGUAAGAUGGAGAUGGCUGCUACUGAUGGUGGGUUUAAAGAAACAAAGGAAAAAUCAUUCACCUAUUAGCUUUAUUAUAUGAAUGGGUCUGUGCUUAAAGAAGUAAAAUUCCUACUGCAGAUCAAGCACGAUGGAUUUUCUUUUACACUGAUGUGGUUUUAUCAAGCAUUUCCAAGCUUCUUCUAAAGAAUCAAAUUUGGUUGAAAGCCUCUGUCUCUUGCAACACGUAUACAAUAUACCAUUAUCAUGAAACAGACACAUUUAUUAAUUCAAAACGAACUUGUAACAAAUAAUUCAUAAUUUCUGUAAGCUAAUUUAUAGGGGAAUGGGAAUGAUGUUAAGAUGCAUUCUGUACUUAAACCGUUUAACCUAGUAUAUAAAAAAUGAUCGAGUAUAAGUGAUGUAAACAAACAAUGGGAAGAUUGUUAUCCUAUCAAUUGGCACAUUUUGCAAAAGAAAUCAUAUAACUGUCGGUGAAAA